CCUACGGGUGGCUGCAGUGGGGAAUAUUGGACAAUGGGGGCAACCCUGAUCCAGCCAUGCCGCGUGUGUGAAGAAGGCCCUCGGGUUGUAAAGCACUUUCAGUGAGGAAGAACGCCUGGUGGUUAAUACCCAUCAGGAAAGACAUCACUCACAGAAGAAGCACCGGCUAACUCCGUGCCAGCAGCCGCGGUAAUACGGAGGGUGCGAGCGUUAAUCGGAAUUACUGGGCGUAAAGCGCGCGUAGGUGGCUUGAUAAGCCGGUUGUGAAAGCCCCGGGCUCAACCUGGGAACGGCAUCCGGAACUGUCAAGCUAGAGGGCAGGAGAGGAAGGUAGAAUUCCCGGUGUAGCGGUGAAAUGCGUAGAGAUCGGGAGGAAUACCAGUGGCGAAGGCGGCCUUCUGGACUGACACUGACACUGAGGUGCGAAAGCGUGGGUAGCAAACAGGAUUAGAUACCCGAGUAGUC
rnacentral:rRNA from 1 species